AAUUAAUAAGAAUAUAAAUACAUUAAAUUAAACACAACCACCAAUGGCAUACAGGCUUCGCAGCGAUGCGAAUCCUGUCCGUGCACCUUGGAGGCUUUAGAUGGAGACUGGUCAUAGUUACAUCUGGCAGGUCCACUAGUUUCACCUGGCAGGUCCACUAGAGAACACUGGCAGUCCAUUAGUUCACACUGGAGGUCCACUAGUAACACCUGGCAGGUCCACAGUAACACCUGGCAGGUCACUAGAGAACACCUGGCAGGUCCACUAGCAGGUCACAUAGUUAACCUGGCAGGUCCACUAGUCACACCUGCAGGGUCCACUAGCAGGUCCACUAGUUACACUUGCAGGUCCACUAGUAACACUGGCAGGUCCACUAGAGAACACCUGCAGGUCCACUAGUACACCUGGCAGGUCCACUAGCAGGUCCACUAGUUACACCUGGCAGGUUCACUAGUCACACUGGAAGGUGCACUAGUUACCCUGGCAGGUCCAUUAGUUUACACCUGGCGGUCCACUAGUACACCUGGCAGGUCCACUAGAGAACACCUGGCAGGUCCACUAGUCACACCUGGCAGGUCCACUAGAGAACACCUGGCAGGUCCACUAGCAGGUACCAUAGAGAACACCUGGCGGUCCACUAGCAGGUCCACUAGAGACACUGGCAGGUCCACUAGUUAUACCCUGGCAGGUCCACUAGUUAUACCCCGGCAGGUCCACUAGUUACACCUGGCAGCGUCCACUAGUCACACCUGGCAGGUCCACCUGUCCAACCUGGCAGGUCCACUAGUCUCGCCUGGCAGGUCACUAGCAGGCCCACUAGAGAACACCUGGCGGGUCCUCUAGCAAGUCCUAGUCACACCUGGCAGGUCACUAGUUAACUGGCAGGUCCUCUAGCAAGUCAUAGAGACACACCUGGCAGGUCCACUAGCAGCUCCACUAGAGAUCACCUGGCAGGUCCACUAGCAGGUCCACUAGAGAACACCUGCAGGUCCACUAAGCAGGUCCACUAGAGAACACCUGGCAGUCCACUAGAGACACACCUGGCAGGUCCACUAGAGAAACCUGGCAGGUACCAGAGAACACCUGGCAGGUCCACUAGCAGGUCCACUAGAGAACACCUGCAGGUCCACUAAGAACACACCUGGCAGGUCCACUAGCAGGUCCAUAGAGAACCUGCAGGUCCACUAGAGAACACCUGGCAGGUCCACUAGAGAACACCUGGCAGGUCCACUAGCGCCUAGGAAACACCUGGCAGGUCCACUAGAGAACACCUGGCAGGUCACUAGAGACACCUGGCAGGUCCACUAGAGAACACUGGCAGGUCCACUAGCAGUUCUAGAGAACACCUGCAGGUCCACUAGAGAACACCUGGCAGACAACUAAAGUUCCCUCUCACUUUUCUAGGUGGAAAGAGAGAAACGGUCCAGGGAGCAGCUCUCACCCUCGGCUCUGUCUGCUAAACAUUUUGGAUCACUUCUGGAUUCUUCCCUCGUAGUAGGUAGGAAGGAAGGAAGGAAGGUAGGUAGGUAGGUAGGUAGGUAGGUAGGUAGGUAGUAGGUAGGUAGGUAGAUAGUUAGUAAGGUAGGUAGGUAGGUAGGUAGGUUACGUAGUAGGUACGUAGGUAGAUAGCUAGGUAUGUAGGUACGUAGGUAGAAUAGUUAGGUAGGUAGGUAGAUAGUUAGGUAGGUAGGUAGGUAGGUAGGUAGGUAGGGUAGGUAGGUACGUACGUAGGUACGUAGGUACAUAGUUGUAUGUAGGUACGUAGGUAGAUAGUUUGGUAUGUAGGUACUAGGUAGGUAGGUAGUAGGAAGGUAGAUAGGAUAGAGUAUGUAGGUAGGUAGGUAGGUUAGGUAGGUAGGAAGGAAGAUAGGUAGGUAGGUAGAUAGUAAGUAGUUAGGUACGUAGGUAGAUAGUUAGGUAUGUAGGUACAUAGGUAGGUAGGUAGGUAGGUAGUAGGUAGGAAGGAGUAUAGUAGGUAGGUAGGUAGUAGGUAGGUAGGUAGGUAGGAUAGUUAGGUAGUUUAGGUACGUAGGUAGGUAGAUAGUUAGGUAGGUAGGUAAUAGUAGAUAGUUUAGGUAGGUAGGAGGUAGGAGGUAGGUAGGUAGGUACGGUAGUUAGGUGGUACGUAGGUACGGUAGGUAUGUAGUACUUAGGUAGGUAGGUAGGUGGUAGGCUAGGUAGGUAGGUAGGUAGGUAGGUAGUAGGUAGGUAGGUACGUAGGUAGUUAGGUGGUAGGUAGUUAGGUA
ensembl:lncRNA